GUUUUCACCACGGUCUUUAAGUCCAGGUUGCAGGCCCGACUGUUUUCUAUGAGUAUUGCCAACCCAGACAUACUUUCCUGAGACAUUGUACAUUAUAUUGUAUGUCCAUUGCGUUGGACACAAUUUAAACUUAGUCUUGAAUGAUGUAUGCAACCACACAACUCAAACGCUGGUUCACCAGUGUGAACGAAAUCGCAAACCUCUUCUGUUCAAGCCCUCAACUUGUUGUCCAUUAAUGGUAAUCUGUUUGCAUCCGUCAAUUGAUUGGCAUUCCAGUGUCUAGACAACCUGUCCCCAGAGCUUCCUGUACAGUUAUUCUCUUUCCCGUAACGUGUUCAGGCCGGCAAUUAAGGAGAACAAGAGGCUUCAGAACUGUUGCAGAACUGCUGUAUUUGAAACACCACCCCCCCUUUCUGCCCAGUUCCCCUGGUGUUGCUACGGCAAUCAAGCUGUUUUUACCCUCCCUGUAACUGUCGCUUCCGCAGAGACAUUUCUCUUCUGAACUAAAACUCCUAAAGAAGUACCUGAGAAGCAUUAGGCUCUCGCUCUGAUAUGCGCUUCUGAACACCUGAGUAAGCACCACUCAUUGCACUGGCGCCGUCGUAGCCUUGACCACGGCAUUUGUUCACCCCUUUCAAUCAGUUAAAUAUUUUCUUUUCCAAGGCCUGAGGCACUCUUUAAGUCACAUUCCUGAAGCCCAAGAAACUAACACUUAGCUUCCUAGAACAUAUGGAAAUGAAAAAGGUUUAUGAAUGACGUUUUGGAGGUUUACUGUCAAAAUGAUUUCUUCAAUGAAACAAAUAGACGUGGACACCAGGUGGUGGGCCCUCUGAGCUCAUGGGCCCCCUACCUUGUGGGGGCCUGCUGGGGUGUCCGGUAUGCCAGUGACAUGCACACCUGCACAUACACAUUACACACACUCUCAAACUCAUUCAUAAGGAGAGGAGAUGUGGAACAUAAUGAGUUAUUCUUAUUGUGAAGACCUUCUCUCUCUCUUGAGCUCAGGUAUGUUAUUUUUGUGAACGAGAAGAGAAGCUGCAGCUGAGAGAGGAGCACCCGGACCUCCCCUUCACUGAGAUCAGCCGCAUGCUGGGGCUGCAGUGGUCCCAACUGGGCCCCAACGACAAGCAGAAGAAGAACCAAGAGGCAGAGAAGGACAAGCAGCAUGACAUCACAGGGCUGACAGACUACCAGAACACUGAGGCAUACAAAGACUUCCUGCGGAAGAAAGCCCUGAGCAGGGGACCAAAGCUCUGUGGACCCCAGGGAGCUGACACUGAGAUGGAGGAGGAGACCAUGGCUCCGGAUCCCAUAGAUAGUAACUUAACUGCUCCUCUUUCUACACAAGCCAUUCUGACCUUCACUUUGACCAGGGACGGGCAUCUUUGAUGGGGUGGGGGCCACAAAAAACGGAACUCAUCAUGAGGGGCAGCAGGGGCUCGUGUUCGUACCCCCCUCCUUACGAGCAAAACAUUUUAGCUGCCCCCUUCGUGACAGCGAAGAGUUUGUAGUUUCGUUCUUCCAAUUCUCCAAUUCUGCACAUUUUGCCAUAGGGCUGAGAGAAACAUUUGCAGUUUUACAGCUAAUUUCAUGCAAUUCUGCACAUCUUGCAAUAGGGUGGAGGCAAAUGUUUGCAGUUUUUAAUAUGAUACCUGUUGAUCAAUGGGCCUUACCCUGGUCGAUAAUUCGACCAGGCUUAAUUACUACAGCUCCCACAUUCAAAUUUAAGUUGAGACCCCGACUGAGUUCCAAAAACAAACAUGUUUUUUGGUGAAAUUGGUUCGAGGGCCUCUCUCUCUAUCCCCCUCUCUCCCUCUCCCCCACUCUCUCUCUCUGCCACCCCCUCCAUCUCUCCCCCACUCUCUCUCUCUGCCACCCCCCUCUCUCUCCCCCUCUCUCAGUCUCUCUCAGGGGUCUGACUGUAGUGAUUUGUUCUGUCAUACCUGUAAUCAGUACUUCAGCUCUCUUCUGCACAACAAGAAAGAACACCUUCUGGGCAAACAACAUCUGCAGGCCCUCACAGGUCUCUGUGCGUGUGUGUGUGUGUGUGUCUGUGUGUGUGUGUGUGCGUGCAAGGCGUGCGUACGUGCGUGCGUGCAUGCGAGUGAGGUGCAUAUCAGAUUACGUUCUAUGUGCAAGCCUUUAUCAUAUUUGGAAACUGAUGCAAUAGCAGUAUUUCACCAUUAGAUGGGUGUAUAGGACUUAGUCAGUCAGGUUCUCUUUUUAAAGUGCUGUUCAGCAUAGUUACUCCAAUGAACAGAGACACAAAUACAUUCAAAGCCAUAGUCUAUACUGUAGGAUUUUUGGAGAGUAUGGUUUUGACAUUGUGUGUGUUUCUGCUCAGAGGAGUUUGAGAAGGACACAGGCAGCCAACAGCAGGCUCCAGAGAUGGAGAGAGGCCCUGUGGAGGAGGAAGAGGAGGAUGAUGAAGAGGAGGCAGAGUUGGCUCGUACGUUGGGUCUGUCCUCGCUGGACUUCAGUGUGCUGCAGGAGCUGCUGCUCAGACACAUGAAGCGUAAGAGCUACUGACCAGCACUGACCACAUUUAUAACUUUGACACAAACAGUUUGCUGGCCUGUCAGCUCCACACCCUCACUCUGCAACCACUGCUGUUCCAAACAGACAGAGGUGACAGAGAGAAAGAGCGGGACAUGACAGAUGGAGGGAAAUAAAAAGAGAGAGACCGAAAGAGUGGGAGAGAGCGAGACAGGAAAGAGGGCAGCAGUUCUAUAAAUGAAACCUGAUUAGUAGAUUACUGCAUCCAGUUGGAGGGGAUGUGGGUGUUUACUGCUCGGGCACUUUCCAUUCACACUUUCUGUGUAGUACCUUUGCUCUUGUGUUUCUGAAUGCACACACACGCCCACACAUGUUUGGUCUUAAUGUGCUUUGUGGGGACCUACACAUAUUUUCCCCAUUCAAAAUCUGAUUUUCCUUAACCCUCAAACCUAACAUUAACCCUAACCUUAACUCAUAACCCUAACCCUAAUUCUAACCCUUACCCUAAAAUAGCCUUUGUCCUCUUGGGGACUUGGGAAAUGUCCCCACGUGGGAGAAUGUUCCUUGUUUAACUAUCCUUGUGGGGAUUUCCGGUACCCACGAGGAUAGUAAUAUAAGUACACACACACACACACACACACACGCACACACACACACACACACACACACACGUGUUCCCAUGGAUUGGGUAAUAAACUCAAGCCGGAGGUUUGGAAUAAUUUGCUUGUUAUGAGGCCAAUCCCUUUCAUUGUGCUAAUCUCCAUCAGGGUGUUAGGUCUUCGCCCAGCCAGGACAGGGAGGGUUACAGAUGGAGAACAGCGGGGCUGGAGCUAGCAUCAGUUACUUAGUGGUUCAUGGUCGAGAUCACAGUAGUGUUUUGUUCCAGACAAUAGACUCUCUGACCCUCCUAUCAGCUCUAUCAUCCUUUCCUUGUCCCCGUCAGGUGGUGACUGGUUUAAAAUGAUAGGACAGGGUCCAGCCUCAUGUUAGGUAUUCACUGUAUUGAUGUCAGCUAUUAUACAGUUCAUUCAAAUCAGGGAUCAGGAAGGAAUGGCGAUUAAGAAAAAGAGAGAUGUCGACUAUGGUAACAGAAAUAUGAUUUGUAUUCAAUAGAAAGAGUUACAGUAUUUACAGAACUGACGCAGCCCUGUCUCUAGGUAACAGGCUUCUGCAGAAACAGGCUCUGCCCAUCGCUGCCCUGACGAAUUGAUGAGCAGAGCCGCACAGGAAGAAGGGAACCUCAGGUAACCAUAGCAACCAGCCAGGGGUCGUGUGAGAACGGACAGUGACUGAGUAGAUUAACAUCUGUAUGUGUCAGCAACAUAAUGAAUGUGGCCCUAGUAUCCACUACUUUGUAGGGAAGGGAGCAGUUUUUCAGAAUGGAACCAAGCCUGAGUAUCACAGCGCCAUUUUGACAGGAGUGGUAACUUGUGACUGAGAUGCUGCUGUGAUAAUGAUGAAAGAUAGGAUUUACAUGGUGUUUUUCCAAGAGCUCAAAGAGCUUUACAUUGUAACAGGAAGCCCAGCUCAGCCAGUGUGCUCAUGUGUGAUGUAGCUCCCAGCCAGAUUGCAGUUUGGAGUGUGACUGUUUGAGGUUGUGGACAGGUGUCUUUUAUACUGAUAACACGUUCAAACAGGUGCCAUUAAUACAGGUAACGAGUGGAGGACAGAGGAGCCUCUCAAAGAAGAAGUUACAGGUCUGUGAGAGCCAGAAAUCUUGCUUGUUUGUAGGUGACCAAAUACUUAUUUUCCACCAUAAUUUGCUAAUUAAUUCAUUAAAAUUCCUACAAUGUGAUUUUCUGGAUUUUUUUCUCAUUUUCUCUGUCAUAGUUGAAGUGUACCUAUGAUGAAAAUUACAGGCCUCUCUCAUCUUUUUAAGUGGGAGAACUUGCACAAUUGGUGGCUGACUAAAUACUUUUUUGCCCCACUGUAUGUAAACUUCCG
ensembl:lncRNA